rnacentral:rRNA from 1 species
AUUGAACGCUGGCGGCAGGCCUAACACAUGCAAGUCGAGCGGCAGCGGAAAGUAGCUUGCUACUUUGCCGGCGAGCGGCGGACGGGUGAGUAAUGUCUGGGAAACUGCCUGAUGGAGGGGGAUAACUACUGGAAACGGUAGCUAAUACCGCAUAACGUCGCAAGACCAAAGAGGGGGACCUUCGGGCCUCUUGCCAUCAGAUGUGCCCAGAUGGGAUUAGCUAGUAGGUGGGGUAACGGCUCACCUAGGCGACGAUCCCUAGCUGGUCUGAGGGGAUGACCAGCCACACUGGAACUGAGACACGGUCCAGACUCCUACGGGAGGCAGCAGUGGGGAAUAUUGCACAAUGGGCGCAAGCCUGAUGCAGCCAUGCCGCGUGUAUGAAGAAGGCCUUCGGGUUGUAAAGUACUUUCAGCGGGGAGGAAGGUGUUGAGGUUGAUAACCUCAGCAAUUGACGUUACCCGCAGAAGAAGCACCGGCUAACUCCGUGCCAGCAGCCGCCGUAA